CCGACUGCUAUUUGGGUGAGGAUAAGCCAUGCGAGUUGAAUGGGAUACCCAAAGUUCCCAUGGCAAACUGCUCAGUAACACAUGAUCAACUUACCCUAUAGAGGAAAAUAACCUCGGGAAACUGAGGAUAAUAUUCCAUAGUUGAAUCGGCUUGGAAAAGUUUUUCAAUAAAAGGGAUAAGGAAAAUGGUUCUUAUCUGCAAUAGGAUAGGAUCGUGUUCGAUUAUGGUUGUUGGUGAGGUAAAGGCUCACCAAGCCGAUAAUCGAUAGGGGCCGUGAGAGCGGGAGCCCCGAGAUGGGUACUGAGACAACGACCCAGGCCUUACGAGGCGCAGCAGGCGCGAAACCUCCGCAAUACACGAAAGUGUGGCGGGGUUACCCAAAGUGUUCUAUUUAGAGCUGUGGUAGGUGAGUAAUGUCCCCUACUAGAAAGGAGAGGGCAAGGCUGGUGCCAGCCGCCGCGGUAAAACCAGCUCUUCAAGUGGUCGGGAUAAUUAUUGGGCUUAAAGUGUCCGUAGCCGGUUUAGUAAGUUCCUGGUAAAAUCGGGUAGCUUAACUAUCUAUAUGCUAGGAAUACUGCUAUACUAGAGGGCGGGAGAGGUCUGAGGUACUACAGGGGUAGGGGUGAAAUCUUAUAAUCCUUGUAGGACCACCAGUGGCGAAGGCGUCAGACUGGAACGCGCCUGACGGUGAGGGACGAAAGCCAGGGGAGCGAACCGGAUUAGAUACCCGGGUAGUCCUGGCCGUAAACGAUGCAUACUAGGUGAUGGCACGGCCAUGAGCCGUGUCAGUGCCGUAGGGAAACCGUUAAGUGUGCAGCCUGGGAAGUACGGUCGCAAGGCUAAAACUUAAAGGAAUUGGCGGG
rnacentral:rRNA from 1 species